rnacentral:lncRNA from 1 species
UUCUCAUUACACCAAAUUUGAUGAAAUGAUUUUAUUUCCAUCCUUAUUUGUGGCAAAACAAAGAGUGCAUCUGUAUGUUUUUAUCCCAAGAAAGAAAGGAAAAAGCCAUGCAUUGCCUCAAAACAUGCUACUGAAAAGUACUUUUGUUACUUCCAAAAUGAGGUUUGGGUCUCAUGUAGCUGCUUUUCAACAAGAACAAGCUAAAAAACACUGUAAUUUUGUAACAGCUAAUUUUUUCUUUUCUAGUUAAAUGAAGGGCUACUUAAAUUGAUAAUUCCUGCUCCAGAAAAAAAAAGACCACCUCAAACAACUUUUUAUUUUGAGAAUGCCGAUGAGAAAAGAAACUUUUCCCUGCAGUGAAAUGUGAGAUUCUGAAAGCCGACAUGCCAUCUUGUCAUCGCCAUACACAAGUGCAGAAUGAAAUGAGUGGAGCAAGUAAACAAAUGAUUGUGCCUCAGAGGGAAUUGAGGAGUUGCUCCGCACCAAAGCAUUCAGAAACCACAGUGGGAAUUGUAAAAAAGAGAAUGAUUUUAUAUUACCAAAGACACCAAGAUUUUUGUGUUAUUCCUACGUUGGGCUCAGCAGGCUGGGUUGCUUUGUAUCAGGAUGAUGCUGACCCUUGGCUUCAGGUCCACUUGGACAACAUGUUGGGCCACCCUCUGUCUGCACUCAAAUGGCCAUCGAAACAUUAA